AAAGUAACUAAAAGCUUUCUUUAAAUAGGACAUUCAUGCUUUUACUUAGAGAUUAGAGGACAGAGGUCUGCGCUUUGCUUUGAAUAAAGUGGCCUGCUCUCGAACAUCUGUACAGAGUGCUGAAAAAUCAAUACUUGUGUUUUUUAAAGACUCUACUGUAUUUUAUGAAUUGUUUACAAACUGUUUUUUUUUUUGACGGACUGGCAAAGACAAAAUACUUCCUCAAGAACAGUUCAUGUGGAUCAGACAGGCCAGGACUACUACAGCAAAAUACAGAUUCAGUAUCUGUUUAUUCUGCAAAAGACAAUUGCCAGCUGAUUCUUUUUACUAAGACGAACUGCAUAUACAUUGGACAUCUCUGGCGGUAUAAUCAGAGCACAAUAGCACCUGCUGCUGCAAAAAUCAGGGAACUCUGCCAUAAACAUCUAACGUCUAUCAGCAGCACAGAAGCCUUCCAGAGGUCUUUUUCCCAGCCCACCGGGAAAGAGGGAGGGGCAGCAAGAUGGAUGAAGCUCUACCUGCCACUUGUCUUUCACCGGUCUGCCAGUUUGAUGCUGCAGACGCUAAUGGCUCUCAAGGGAGGCGGCAAAUUAAGCGUGCUCGGCUUGUAAUGAAUUCGGAGGUACAUGUUCUCUAAACGCAGCUUGCGAGAGAAUAGUCUCAUGUAGACAGACCUUUGACUAAACUGACCACGGUGCAGCUUAUUCUGACCAGGGACCUGAGCAACAAGCAGCCAAUCAAAAUUCUUCUCAUUAUUACGUGUCUGUUCAUGUAAUGCUGCAAACACGACUUCUUGUUCUUUAC